CCAAGCGCCACGGCGAAUGUCUACGUUAGAAAACUCUCGCCAAAUAUAAAGAUCGAGCUCAAGGAGAGACCGAGGAGGGAUUUGACGACAGAUUUCUCGAGAGGAGAAGCUUCCAUUGCCAGAUCCCUCCCGCUUCCGCCCCCGUUGUUCCAUUCGAGCCGACCGUUUCCACCAACGCUUCCUCCUCCUCGGAGCGACCCACCCGCCGCGCUCGGCCGACAUGUGGGCCCCGGCGGCCUCGCCGGCGGGCAGGGCGCCCCGACCGCCGCCGCGGUUGCCGGCGGUGGUACGGGUCGUCGUCCCGCUGCCUGUCGCGGCGAGGGUGCGGGGGCUGCCGAUGCCGCCCAGUCGGCUCUGCCUAGCCGCGCCGCGUGCAUCGGAAAUGGCGGCCGCGGCCGAGGACGGGGAGGGGGAGGGGGAGAGGAGGUGGUGGAGGGGCGCGGAGGAGAUGGACGCGGCUGUGAGGCGCGAGCUGGCGAUCCGGAGGCUGCAGCAGGAAGCGGAGGAGGCGGGGACGGGGAGGAGCAGGCGGGAGUUCGCCGUGUUCGAGACGGCCAGGGGAGACACGCUCUUCACGCAGUCGUGGACUCCCGCCUCCGCCGACCCCGUCAGGGGUAUUGUUGUUCUGCUACAUGGUCUAAAUGAGCAUAGUGGAAGAUACGACCAUUUUGCAAAGUUGUUGAAUGAUCAAGGUCUUAAAGUUUAUGCGAUGGAUUGGAUAGGACAUGGCGGAAGUGAUGGCGCGCAUGGUUAUGUUUCAUCGCUUGAUCAUGCUGUUGGUGACUUGAAAGAAUUUUUAGAGGAUGUUGUGUUAGAAGAAAACUAUGGUUUGCCAUGCUUCUUAUUUGGCCACUCCACAGGUGGAGCUAUUGUUUUGAAGGCAGCACUAGAUCCUUGUGUGGAAGUUCAUAUAGAAGGUUUGAUCUUGACCUCGCCAGCUAUUCACGUUCAGCCAUCUCAUCCGAUUAUCAAAGUUGUUGCACCAAUCUUCUCGGUGUUGGCUCCGAAAUACCGGGUUAGUGCUUUGCAUAAGAGAGGGCCUCCUGUUUCCCGUGAUCCAGAGGCUCUGAAGAUCAAGUAUGCAGAUCCACUUGUGUAUACUGGACCGAUUAGAGUUAGAACAGGCAACGAAAUCCUCCGGAUAUCAUCAUACUUGCAGAGAAACUUAAGUAGAGUUACAGUCCCUUUUCUAGUUCUUCAUGGGACAGCUGACACGAUAACUGACCCAAGAGCAUCCCAACGACUUUACCAAGCAUCAAUGUCGACUCAUAAAUCAAUCAAGCUAUAUGACGGAUAUUUACACGACCUUCUCUUCGAGCCUGAAAGGGAUGAUAUAGCCAAUGACAUCAUCACUUGGUUGAGCUCAAGACUUAAUGCUCUCCACAGAUGGUAAGGUAGUGUUGUUCACAAAUUUUUACCUAAACUAUUAUCAGAAGAUAUCUGUAUGAGGUUUGAGUGACAGUUGAACAAGCAGACAUCUCCUUUGCUGAACUUUGAUUUCUCAAUAUUACUGAAGUUAUGGUGGGUUUCCUACCAUCAUCGUAAGAGAGAAGACACCUUGUAUCUAGCUCAGACCUGAUCAUGUUUUCGGAGCUGAACAACAUAAGUUAUUAUGGGAUUAUGCUACUCAAAUUAUGUACGCAAGCUGACCUGUAGAGUGUAGAUAACCUCUGAGUCGCGUGCUCGUGG